UGUGCACGUUCAGUCCUCACUGUUCCCUCACACUCCACAUAUUCAGUCUAUGUGUGCACGCUCAGUCCUCACUGUUCCCUCACACUCUACAGAAUCAGCCUCUGUGUGCACGUUCAGUCCUCACUGUUCCCUCACACUCUACAGAAAUAAGCCUCUGUGUGCACGAUCAGUCCUCAGUGUCAUCUCACACUCUACAGAAUCAGCCUCUGUGUGCACACUCAGUCCUCACUGUUCCCUCACACUCUACAGAAUCAGCCUCUGUGUGCACAUUCAGUCCUCACUGUUCCCUCACACUCUACAGAAUCAGCCUCUGUGUGCAGGUUCAGUCUUCACUGUUCCCUCACACUCUACAGAAUCAGUCUCUGUGUGCAGGUUCAGUCUUCACUGUUCCCUCACACUCCACAGAUUCAGCCUCUGAGUGCUAGUUCAGUCCUCACUGUUCCCUCACACUCCACAGAUUCAGCCUCUUAGUGCUAGUUCAGUCCUCACUGUUCCCUAACACUUUAUAGAAUCAGCCUCUG
rnacentral:lncRNA from 13 species